GAAAGAAACGACAGAGCAGCGUGCAGAGGAGCUGGAGAGCCGGGUGUCCAGUUCUGGCCUCGACUCUCUGGGCCGGUACCGCAGCAGCUGUUCACUACCGCCCUCCCUCACCACCUCCACCCUCGCCAGCCCCUCACCUCCCAGCUCCGGACACUCCACCCCUCGUCUGGCACCUCCCAGUCCUGCCCGGGAGACCGACAAGACCAAUCAUGUCCCCAAGGACGAAGCCGGUGUUCCACGAGGGGAGGGUCCAGCCAUUCCAGGAGACACCCCACCACCCACUCCCCGCUCUGCCCGUCUUGAGAGGAUGACCCAGGCUUUGGCACUGCAAGCGGGGUCACUGGAAGAUGGGG
rnacentral:lncRNA from 1 species